GAGCACCAGUAAGCCAGUGACUCAGCCCCUGUACCCUACAGUACUCAUCUCAUAGGUAUAUACCGUACUCUAUACCAUGUACUGCAUCUUGCCUAUGCCGUUCUGUACCAUCACUCAUUCAUAUAUCUUUAUGUACAUAUUCUUUAUCCCUUUACACUUGCGUGUAUAAGGUAGUAGUUGUGGAAUUGUUAGGUUAGAUUACUUGUUGUUAUUACUGCAUUGUCGGAACUAGAAGCACAAGCAUUUCGCUACACUCGCAUUAACAUCUGCUAACCAUGUGUAUGUGACUAAUAAAAUUUGAUUUGAUUUGAUUUGAUUUGAUUACGCUGCAGUAGUUUAUGUGUCGAGGGGCUAGGGUCAGUUUGUUAUAUCUGGAGUACUUCUCCUGUCUUAUCCAGUGUCCUGUGUGAAUUUAAGUAUGCUCUCUCUAAUUCUCUCCUUCUCUCUUUCUUUCUCUCUCUCGGAGGACCUGAGCCCUAGGACCAUGCGUCAGGACUACCUGGCAUGAUGACUCCUUGCUGUCCCCAGUCCACCUGGCCUUGCUGCUGCUCCAGUUUCAACUGUUCUGCCUGCGGCUAUGGAACCCUGACCUGUUCACCGGACGUGCUACCUGUCCCAGACCUGCUGUUUUCAACUCUCUAGAGACCGCAGGAGCGGUAGAGAUACUCUUAAUGAUCGGCUAUGAAAAGCCAACUGACAUUUACUCCUGAGGAGAACCUGAGCCCUGGGACCUUGCCUCAGGUCUACCUGGCCUGAUGACUCCUUGCUGUCCCCAGUCCACCUGGUCGUGCUGCUGCUCCAGUUUCGUCUGUUCUGCCUGCGGCAAUGGAACCCUGACCUGUUCACCAGACGUGCUAUCUUGCUGUUUUCGACCUGCUGUUUUCGACUCUCUCUCUCUACCACACCUGCUGUUUCUAACUCUGAAUGCUUGGCUAUGAAAAGCCAACUGACAUUUACUCCUGAGGUGCUGACCUGUUGCACCCUCCACAACCACUGUGAUUAUUAUUAUUAUUUGACCCUGCAGGUCAUCUAUGAACGUUUGAACAUCUUGGCCAUGUACUGUUAUAGUCUCAACCUGGCACAGCCAGAAGAGGACUGGCCACCCCUCGGAGCCUGGUUCCUCUCUAGGUUUCUUCCUAGGUUCCUGCCUUUCUUGGGAGUUGUUCCUAGCCACCGUGCUUCUACAUCUGCAUUGCUUGCUGUUUGGGGUUUUAGGCUGAGUUUCACUUUGUGACAUCGGCUGAUGUUAAAAGGGCUUUAUAAAUACAUUUGAAUGAUUGAUUGAUUGAUUGAACCCUUUAUGAGUGACAGCACACUAAACCAAUCACAGCGCAACUAGAGAAGAUUACCAACCCCUACGCUCUGUAUUUUCCACUGGCUGCCUCUCCACCACAGAAAGGACUGAGCUAGGCUGAAACCCCUGCAUUUUAGAGCUGCCUUACUCAGUAUGCAAACUGAUAUAUGACACGUAUUAAUGUCAAAAUAACAUGCAAAACUGGCAAUCAAAAUGACUGGUCUGAAUGACGGGUCACCACUGGGCAUAGGCUAUUGUGAACUAUUCCAUAAGUUUAAGAUCAAUGUAAUAACCCACAGCACCACAACAAUAGGCAGUAAGAAAGAGGGGGGAGAGAGGGGGGGAGGGAGAAAGAAUAUAGAGAGACAGAGAGAAAGAUGGAGAGAGGUGGUAGAGGUAGAGAUGAUUUUUGACUUUGUCCCUGAAACCCAGGUUAAAAUACAGAGCAACAAGACACAAAUGUAAUGUUUGCUGAGAUAAUGCUUUUUAAUUAUUUGCUCAUAGCCUGACAGAGGCUGGUAGUAUUCAGAAAUACACAGUACAAUUUAGGGCCAGCUAUAGUAGAUUUCACCACCAUUCUUUAUCUUAUCAUCAGACUCUUGUGAAAUGCCUAUAUGAUUGCCACAGAGUGACAUACGGAAACGGGCUUCCGUAAACUUUGUAUAUCUAUGGUCAACAGUCGACAUUGUCCAACUCUCCUAUCACCUCCAUGAUCUGUAACCAUUGUAAUGGUUCUUAAAGCGAUAACUCAAAGUUUGAUUGAGGCUUGCCGAUUUCUCACACAGAUAGGCUUACCGCAGCAGUAGUGUUGGUGAGAUCAUGUUGCGGAUCUACACAUCAAACAUGUCUGUCUACUCUGGGUUUUGACUGUGCAUUGGUGUAUUCAUGCACACAAUGGAGCUAUCAAUAGCGCUAACAGACGUCUUCAGGACAGGGCAGGUCGAUACAGUGCUAUUCUAGUCCCAGCUCGGGAUCUUUUCGUAGAAACAAAGGCCUGAUAAUAGUAUGGAUUUUUCUCUGUGGUUCAUAUAUGAGGGAAUGAUGGAAGAAAUUAUUGAUGCUCAGUAGUAAUACUGAUACCUUUUUAGAUAACUUUAUCUCAGUAGUCCUCAUUUACCUCCCUUCAUCUGAUUCUGCACUGAUGUAAGAGAGCUGGAAAGGUGACCCUAUUGCUUUCACAUCUACUGGGAUUUCAAAUCAGUGAAGACAAAAGGAAAGGUGACGGAAGAGGAGGUUACUGUAGAGAAUCCCCAGGAGUAUUGGGAGGUUUGUGAGUUGGUAGACUUAAUAUCUAGGAGGUGGCAGUAUUGAGUAAUAUCCUUCCUCCCCUGUCUCCUCUUCGCAAUAGCGAUCCAUAUUGGCAAGAGAAGGAAUGGCAGGCCAUGGGGAUGUUUUACUUCUCUUUAAUGAGAAAGGAAAGGUGAUAGAUCUAUACGAGGCUAAAGUUCUCAGGUAGGAAUAAAGUUCAGAACUAUGACCAAUUUCUUCUUUCUACACUACAUGACCAAAAGUAUGUGGACACCUGCUUGUCGAACAUCUCAUUCCAAAAUCAUGGGCAUUAAUAUGGAGUUGGUCCCCCCUUUGCUGCUAUAACAACCUCUACUCUUCUGGGAAGGCUUUCCACUAGAUGUUGGAACAAUGCUACAGGGACUUGUUUCCAUUCAGCCAUAAGAACAUUAGUGAGGUCGGGCACUGACGUUGGACAAUUAUGUCUGGCUUCCAAUUCAUCCCAAAGGUGUUCAAUGGAGUUGAGCUCAGGGCUCUGUGCAGGGAGUCAAGUUCUUCCCCCUCGAUAUCAACAAACCAUUUCUGUAUGAACCUGGCUUUGUGCACAGGGCUAUUGUCAUGCUGAAACAGAAAAGGGCCUUCCCCAAACUGUUGCCACAAAGUUGCAAUCAUAGAAUCGUCUAGAAUGUACUUGUAUGCUGUAGCGUUAAGAUUUCCUUUCACUGGAACUAAUGGGCCAAGCCCGAACCAUGAAAAACAGCACCAGACCAUUAUUUCUCCUCCGCCAAACUUUACAGUUGGCACUAUGCAUUCAGGCAGGUAGCGUUGUCCUGGCAUCCGCCAACCCAGAUUCGUCCAUCGGACUGCGAGAUGGUGAAGCGCGAUUCAUCACUACAAAGAACGCAUUUCCACUGCUCCAGAGUCCAAUCUCGUCGAGCUUUACACCACUCCAGCCUACACUCGACAUUGUGUAUGGUUAUCUUAGCCUUGCAUGCAGCUGUUUGGCCAUGGAAACCCAUUUCAUGAAGCUCCCGACUAACAGUUCUUGUGCUGAUGUUGCUUCCAAAGGAAGUUUGUCACUGGUGAGGGUUGCAACCGAAGACAGCCUAUUUUUACGCACUUCAGCACUCGGUGGUCCCAUUCUGUGAGCUUGUGUGGCCUACAACUUUACGGCUGAGCCGUUGUUGCUCCUAGACUUUUCCACUUCACAAUAAUAGCACUUACAGUUGACCGGGGAUGCUCUAGCAGGGCAGAAAUUUGACGAACUGACUUGUUGGAAAGAUGGCAUUUUAUGACGGUGCCAUGUUGAAAGUCACUGAGCUCUUUAGUAAGGCCAUUCUACUGCCAAUGUUUGUCUAUGGAGAUUGCAUGGCUGCAUGCUCGAUUUUAUACACCUGUCAGCAUGGGUGUGUCUGAAAUAGCCAAAUCCACUAAUUUGAAGGGGUGUCCACAUACUUCGGUAUAUAUAGUGUUUAUUUAGAAAUGUUGAGGCUUUACAGAUUCCACUCUAGAAAUGUAAAGGUAAUUUCCGAUUGAACUGACAUAUGCAGCAUUUACCAUGAAUGCAGUCUCCGCUAAAGCGGGAACAUUGCCUUUAAAUCGAAAAUCAUGCUGUAAAUAAAUGUAUAUGCUCCAGUGGUGGCACUUGAGAGAGACAUUAUCUUUUUAGAGACAUUAUCAAAUACCACUGAUAAAUAUAAUGCUGAGGAUUAUUUAUUUCUUGCUCAGGAUUUUAACUUCUUAUGGCUGCAAGGGGCAGUAUUGAGUAGCCAGUUAAAUCGUGCCCAUUUUAAACGGCCUCGUACUCAAUUCUUGCUCGUACAAUAUGCAUAUUAUUAUUACUAUUGGAUAGAAAACACUCUCUAGUUUCUAAAACCGUUUGAAUUAUUUCUCUGAGUGAAACAGAACUCCUUCUGCAGCACAUUUCCUGACCAGGAAGUGGAAUGUCAGAAAUCGAUGCUCUGUUCAACUUCAUGCCUAUACAUGGGCAAUGAACGUAAGAGUCUACGUACACUUCAUACACCUUCCCCUGGUUGUCAAGAGGCGGUGAGAGAAGAAAUUUCGUGUCUAUCUUGGUCUGAGGUGGAAUUAAAGCUCUUUGUAUGACGUGACCGUCCAUUUCCUGUUUCUGGAGCGCGCGAAAGAGGACAUGGAUUUGCCUUCUGUUUAGCUGUCGUUAUGGACGACUAACAUCUCUGGUUUAGAUUUUAUUUGAUACAUGUGACCAUAUCAUCGUAAAGUAUGUUUUUCAAUAUAGUUUAAUCAGAUUAUUGAAAUUUUUUCGGGAGUUUUGCCGUGUUCCGUUCUCUGACUUUGUUGACGUUGGAGAGAUCCGUGCCACUUGACAAGUGCCCAUGCUAAAUCAAGAGGGAAAUUUGCUGUUCCAGAUCCAAACAACGACUGUUCUGGACAAAGGACACCUUGUCCAACAUUCUGACGGAAGAUCACCAAAAGUAUGAAACAUUUUAUGAUGCUAUUUCUAAUAUCUGUCGUGCAUGUGAACUGGUCGUCGGCGCCCAAGUGUUUCUGGCUAUUGUGGCUACACUAAUAUAACGCUAUAUUGUGUUUUCGCUGUAAAACACUUGAUAAAUCAUAAAUAUUGUCUGGAAUCACAAGAUGCCUGUCUUUCAAUUGCUGUACACUAUGUAUUUUUCAGAAAUGUUUUAUGGUGAGUAUUUAGUUAUUUGGCGUUGGUGUCUGUAAUUUUUCUGUCUGCUUUCGGUGCAAUUUCUGACUGUAGCUGCAAUGUAAACUAUGAUUUAUACCUGAAAUAUGCACAUUUUUCGAAAAAACAUAUGCUAUACAAUAAAUAUGUUAUCAGACUGUCA